GUUUCUGUGCUGUGGAAGCUUAUCCUGUAAUGUUUGCAGCUGUACAGGGAAUGUGGAGUUGUGUCAGCCUUGACUCAGGUGGCUGGAUUUGACUUGCAAGAGAAGCUGUAAGGUAACACAUGUUUUGUUCCUGAUGUCGCUUGAUAGUUCAGCAUAGCUCUGUGAACAUCACAGUGUCCUGAGAUACUUGGAUUGCCAUGAAAAAGAGAGAAGGAAAGAAAAAAAGUCACAUUUCAUUCACCUUAUAACUUGCUGCUUGGAUUCAUCAGUCACAAUUUUCAUUCUGCCUUCUAAAUAGUCAUUAAGUAUCAAGAGCGGUGAUCGUGUCACACUUUAUGGAUAGAAUCUAAAUUUAAAGAGCAGAUUAAAAUUUUAUACAUACAUACCUGCAUGAGUUAAGCAGUAGAUCCAUCUUUGGAUUGUCCAUUAAUGCAAUUGUCCAUCAAUGCAAUUAAAAUUACCAACAAGACUUGUCUUUGCAUAUGCUUUAAACUGAUGUUCCAGCUCACUUAAAUAGACAUGUGUUUGAAGGAUGUCCUUACAAACUAUUUUUUGAGAGAACAUACAGGAAAAUAAUUUUAAGUAUUUUCAUUUUCCUUCUGAUUUACAUAGAGAAUGCUAGAGACAUCAUCCUAUGCUGAAAUAUUAUUUCGUUUGAUGCAUUUUCUGUUAAUGUGAAUUCCUUUAUAUUAAUCUGUGUAAGAACCAAAUCUAUCAAUAUGUCUAUGUUUUUUUAUUUUUGGAGGGUUUCCUUUUUGUACCUUUUUUUUAUGGUUUGGAUAAGGUUUAUGGUGGUUGUAGGUCUUGGGGGGGUUUGAGAGAGAGAGAGAAAAGGGCAGAACAAUAUAAUUGUCAUGACAAGUGUAUUAAAAACAAUCAGUAGAGAAAACUGUAAAUAACAGAAAUAGUUACAAAUAUUUCAGGUGGGAAGGAUGCCAAAGAGAAGACCUAAUUCUGUAUGUCCCACAGGAAAUCACUAUGAAGCAACAUAUUCUGAGUUAUGGGAAAGUGAGAUAUUUUGAACACCAUAUUAUGACAGACCUCACAUUGAGGGCUUACACUAAACUGGAGUAGAGCAUAUGAGAGAAAUUCUGAACACUUCAUAUGGACACCCAGUGUCUACAUGAAACAUUUCAUCAUUAACUCACAGCAUCUUUAUUGAUUGCAAUUUAAAAAAUUAAGAGAAAUAUGUGCUUUCAUGUCUCAUAUGUGUUGAAGCUUGUCCCUGGUGUCCCUUGAACAGAGAAAUGUCUCAUAGGCUCUCUGCUUAGACAUACUCACAUUUUCUGGGAAAUUAGGACAGUAUCUUCUGUCUUGGGGUCCAGCCUUCCUUAGUAUUUCAUAGUAAUAUGCUGAGCCAAAGGUAUAGCAUCACAAAGCAUCUAGGAAAAAAGUAGAACCAGGCAACCCAUAAGUUACUACAACAGUGUGCUAUGUUAAAAACUGUGAGACAGACAAACAUUUUUUUUUUUUGUCAUGGAAAUUAAGGACAUAUAGUCCCAUCUGUUUCUUCUCAAUCUUUAGGUGAAUUUCCAACAGGUAUCACCUGGCAUUCUAUUCAGUGUCUUAAAAGAAAACUUCAGGCGUAAUCUUUUGUUGAAGUCUUCUGUCCAAAUUUUUCUCUUUCAUGUGAACAGAACAGAUUCAUAGGGCCCCUCUGAUCUUCCUGCAUGUUUAGAAACACCAAUGCCAGCAAUAGUUCCCUUCAGGGAAGAAGAGCAGAAUAGAUAAUAAGUGCUCUAUUGUGCAGACAGGAGAGGAAAAUUUAGUUUUAAUGAUCCCAUUACUUUCUGCUAGACUGCUAAAAAUUACUGUACUGAAUAAACCAGUAGAUGCUGCUUUUUGUCAAAUAACAGGAAUGUCUUUCAUAAAACUUAAUUUUUUUACAGAUACUUUGUAGGGCAGUUAGGGCAGCUUAGCAAAUUCCUUAUUUCCCACUGGACAUUGUAAUUCACAACAAACUAAUUAAUAUUUUAUCUGAAAAUGCUACAUACUUUAAUUGUAGUUUAUUUUUAAUUAAAAUUAAGGUCCUGAAGCAGUCAAUGACAAUUAUGAAUGCAUGCAAGGCAUUAAAUAUGACAAUUUAAAUUUUUAAUUAUUGAUUAUCACAUUGACAUGCUAAUUGUUUUUGGCAAAAUCACAGGAUGCUUUACUUAAAUACUCAUAUAACUGCACUACCCAUUUUAAUUACUGAGAAAAAUUAUGUAGUGGCUUUACAGAAUUUUAAACCUUAGAGAGAACAAUAGUACAGGGGAUUUGUCUUUGGAAAGAUCAAAAUGUUCACCAUGAGUAAAUCUUAUAUUUGAGAAGUGGAAGACAGUAAAGCACUUACAAUGUAACAGUGAAAAUAACAGACAAGUUUUAAAAGCUUUUCAGGAAGCAAUCCAACUAUGUGUUUAAAUAUUGAAAAAUGCAUCAUUGCAUGAAAUAGAACAAACACGAUGGGCAUCUAAAUGUAUCCCUAGAUGGAAACUAAUUUUUACAACAAGAUGUGUUCUAGAACUCUCUCAACAUCAGUUGCAACAUGUAGCUGUCUCAAAACAAUAAUUAAUUUCCUGGAAAGCCCAAGGGUUUUUUUUUAUUAAGACACCAAAUUGAACAUCACUGCCUUUUUCCCUACUGCUUCAGCAACACAAGCUAAAGUCUAGUUAACAUUUUGGGCUUCAGGAUCAUGAAAGAAGCAAAUUAAAAUGUGAAACAUUCUGUAAUCUGAUUGUUCCUGAAUUUAGCUUCUUUCCUCACAGAAUGUAAAGAAAUAGCUGCUUGGGAAAAAAAAAAAAAAAAUUAGAAGGCUUGUUGUGAAACAAAUUCAGU